rnacentral:rRNA from 1 species
CGCGUGCACUGGUUCGGCCGGGCCUUUCCUUCUGGAGAGCCCCAUGCCCUUCACUGGGUGUGCGGGGGAACCAGGACUUUUACUUUGAAAAAAUUAGAGUGUUCAAAGCAGGCCUUUGCUCGAAUACAUUAGCAUGGAAUAAUAGAAUAGGACGUGCGGUCCUAUUUUGUUGGUUUCUAGGACCGCCGUAAUGAUUAAUAGGGAUAGUCGGGGGCAUCCGUAUUCAAUUGUCAGAGGUGAAAUUCUUGGAUUUAUUGAAGACGAACUACUGCGAAAGCAUUUGCCAAGGAUGUUUUCAUUAAUCAGUGAACGAAAGUUAGGGGAUCGAAGACGAUCAGAUACCGUCGUAGUCUUAACCGUAAACUAUGCCGACUAGGGAUCGGGCGAUGUUAUUAUUUUGACUCGCUCGGCACCUUACGAGAAAUCAAAGUUUUUGGGUUCUGGGGGGAGUAUGGUCGCAAGGCUGAAACUUAAAGAAAUUGACGGAAGGGCACCACCAGGCGU